rnacentral:rRNA from 1 species
UACGAAGGGGGCGAGCGUUGUUCGGAAUCACUGGGCGUAAAGGGCGCGUAGGCGGCCCUCCUUGUCGCGUGUGAAAGCCCCGGGCUCAACCUGGGAACGGCGCGCGAGACGGGGGGGCUGGAGUUCGGGAGAGGCGAGUGGAAUUCCGAGUGUAGAGGUGAAAUUCGUAGAUAUUCGGAGGAACACCAGUGGCGAAGGCGACUCGCUGGCAUCUUGCUGACGCUGAGACGCGAAAGCGUGGGGAGCAAACAGG